rnacentral:rRNA from 1 species
CGCAUCUGUGCAUGCAGCAUAUCAAUAAGCGGAGGAAAAGAAACUAACAAGGAUUCCCCUAGUAACGGCGAGUGAAGCGGGAAGAGCUCAAAUUUGAAAUCUUAAAGGGUUUCCCUUUACGAAUUGUAGUUUAAAGAAGUGUUUUCUGUUGAGGUUUUGGUAAAAGUUCUUUGGGAAUAGGACAUCAUAGAGGGUGAGAAUCCCGUAUUUGACCUUUACUUUCAACUUUGUGAUACACUUUCAAAGAGUCGGAUUGUUUGGGAAUGCAGUCCAAAAUGGGUGGUAAAUUUCAUCUAAAGCUAAAUAUUGGCGAGAGACCGAUAGCGAACAAGUACCGUGAGGGAAAGAUGAAAAGAACUUUGAAAAGAGAGUUAAACAGUACGUGAAAUUGUCAAAAGGGAAGCGUUUGACACCAGUGUUGUUUUUCUGAAAAUCAAUUAAAGAACUGUUUAUGCUAAGCUGUUUAGACUUUAUCAGCUAACUGUUUAGUUUUGAGCUUUUCUUUAAUGCACUUUUCAGUUAACAAGUCAACAUCAAUUUCUUUUGCUGUAAAAAAGCUUGAGGAAGGUGGCUUGAGAUUCGUCUUAAGUGUUUAUAGCCUCUUGCCUAUGCAGUCGGAGAGAUUGAGGUCUGCAGCGUAGAUCCUUCGGGGCUAAAUGCAUUUGUGCUAAGUUAUAGCAUUUUAUAGACAACUUGUUGACUAUGAUUUGUCUUGUAGCUUACUCGCUUAUGUUAUUUUACCUACGCUUCAGGAUGUUGAACGCGCACAGAGUCUC